UACCCUGUAACCACGACCUCUCCAUGAUUGCAUACAUCCAUGCACGUCCUUAUCAUGGUUCCCACCUUGACAUUGGCCUCUUAUGUCGCUCUUUUGUCAAUCACAAAUCUCCUGUUUUCGUUAUCUCAUAUAUGCUCCCGUUGGCUUAUUAUUCAUUCAAAUUUGUCAAAUGUCCAUUCCCGAAAGCCCGUUUUCUUCUUCUUCUUCGCCUUCUUUGCCUCAGACCUCUUUUGGGAGAGUUGAACUAGUUUCCAAGUUUGUAUCGGAGCGACUUGUUCAGAAGUUUUACGAUGUGUCUGAAUUCGACUUUGAUUACGAGCAAAGUGGAUUGUGGUCUCCUCCGGUCCAGAGGACUGUGUUCAUGAGCUCCUCCGGGAAAAUAUUCACGAAAGCAGAUAUUCUGUCAAAACUCAGAAGCGCAUUGCAGAGGCAUCGUCGUCGAAGGAAACACAUGAGAAUUUGUUUCAAUGUAUUCAUUUGCUGCUUCUGAGUGAGAUGUUCAAGGUAACCCUUGUUUCCAGGAACGAUUGUAACUUAACCAGUCAAAAUACAACACAAAAUGCUUUUUUCCGUGUAAGUUUCUUCCACUUGGUUUGGCGAUGUAAAUGUUAUUCUUUUUGAUAAAUUUUGUGCAUCACCUUAAUAAAAUCAGGAAUAAUAAUUAAAAAAAAAAAAAAACUACCAAAUAUCCAUACCAUCAGUGAAUUGAGCAUGUCUAGCUAACUUUGGAGCGACAACAGCACCAUUCCGUCUCACCUGUCCCAGCUUCUCAGUUUCUUCAACAAUUUCCUCUUUUGGUGAUCAUGUAAAUGUUACAUUGCUCCAAGUGUAGAAAUGCUGAGGGGUGUGAAUGGGUUAGGUAAUCCAGUCCGAGUAAAAUGUUCAUAUAACACUGUUGAAUCCGAAUUAACAAAUGUAAGAGUUUAUUUAAAAAAAAAAAAAAAAAAAACAAAUGUAGCAGUUUUUGGUUAAGGGAACAUGCCAUCUAGUCUUAAGGCCAUUUCAACAUAUUAUAUGUAGUCUUUACGAGAGAAUUUUGCAUGUUUGGUAAGUAAGAUGAGAAUUUUAAGUCUUUAAGCCUUAGGUUUUUGUAAGCUAAGGCAAAGCUCUCUCAAAUAUCUGAAGUCCAAAAUACUUUGUGAGCUCCUUUUAGGCUUUUUUCAUGUAAUUCUUUUAUGUCUAGGAACCAACUCAUUUGCCUGACUUUCUGAGUCUGGAAAGUCCAGCUCUCUGGUUUGCCAAGUACCGCUUGAUGUCAUAAUUUGACUUCUCUUACACUAUCUUUGCGUAUGAGUGCCUUCAAGAAAGGUCUCAAUUUUAGUAAAAUACUUGCAAAGAUUAGUCUUGCAGAGACCAAAUUAAACUGCAAACCACUUAAACUAGCAUUAGGAGCCUUGAUGUGAAUUCUCAUUGUCAGUGGCAGAUAUUGUCAAGAACAGUCAAGCUAUAUAUAAAUACUGUCUUCAUUUGUUGUUUCUGCACAAAGCUGAAGUGGCAAGUUGGCCUGAAGCUUUCAAAACUGAAUCCAAACGGUAACAUGUGGGCUCUUAAAGGAUCUGCCACUUGUUUGUUCAGAUAUGAAAUCACCGUAAUUAAGAGGAAUUCCAAAGCUCAAAGCAUUUUAGAAGUCACUGCAUGAUUCAAAUUUACAAUCCACUUCCCCACUUCUCUCCGUUACUACCACUCACAUCUCUUGGAUUCCAAGCCACUUGUCACAAGGGGUACUUCGGAAACCAAUAAUUUUGAGAGGAACACAUCUCCCGAAACAGAAGUCAAUUAAGACAUGAAACUUUGAGGCUCCUACAGUCCUACUAAUUGCAAAUCUGAAUUGGCAAUUGUUACGUAGAAAAACAAACGGAACAAUAUUCUGACGUAUCUGCAUGAGAAGACACGAUUUGUCACUUGUCUUGCAUGUGGGACAUGUGCAUCACAGACAUCUAAGAUCAGCUGCUGCUGCAGCAUACCAGCCUUUUACAGUCCGGAGUAACCUAGGUACCAGCUGCCUUCUUUUAGGAUAGAGAAACGAGAUAUAACAAGUUAACUUGAAGAUAUGAGAUGCCAGUAUAGAUGUUGAAAAGAAAUCUGAUAUUUCCGAAUUCCAGUCUGAUCAAGACCUUCUGUCCAACUUGUAUAUGAAGACAAACACUAAUCCACUUAGCUUAAUUCUCACUUAAGUGGAAACGGAAUGGCUAUACUGGCUUCCAGUGUUAUGCAGGGGAAAAGAAAAGCAUGGAAAGUGGAACGAGCUGCAAAAACCGGACCUGAGAUGAAAAUGCAGACGUGGAACAGGAAAGUCAGGGGAGUGACUUGAAAAGCCUAGAGACUAACAAAAGAAGAACUUGGCUUAUUAUUGCUCAGUAUGAAUGUAAAACAUGUUCCCAUUUACUUCUUAAUUAAUGUAAGUAUACAUCCAUGAACAGUGUGCAAACCCUUUUGAAUGUCGGUAUUUUCCACUAUAUAUGUGAAGCAUCUACGACUAUACGUUGUCAUUGCUUGAGAGCAAAGCUAACAUAUGCUAUAUUUUCUUUC